UGGGGAAUUUUGGACAAUGGGCGCAAGCCUGAUUCAGCCAUGCCGCGUGCAGGAUGAAGGCCUUCGGGUUGUAAACUGCUUUUAUUUGGGAAUAAACCUCUUUACGUGUAGAGAGCUGAAGGUACCAAAUGAAUAAGCACCGGCUAACUCCGUGCCAGCAGCCGCGGUAAUACGUAGGGUGCGAGCGUUAAUCGGAAUUACUGGGCGUAAAGCGUGCGCAGGCGGUUAUAUAAGACAGAUGUGAAAUCCCCGGGCUCAACCUGGGACCUGCAUUUGUGACUGUAUAGCUAGAGUACGGUAGAGGGGGAUGGAAUUCCGCGUGUAGCAGUGAAAUGCGUAGAUAUGCGGAGGAACACCGAUGGCGAAGGCAACCCCCUGGACCUGUACUGACGCUCAUGCACGAAAGCGUGGGGAGCAAACA
rnacentral:rRNA from 1 species